UACGUAGGGUGCAAGCGUUAAUCGGAAUUACUGGGCGUAUAGCGUGCGCAGGCGGUUGUGCAAGUCAGAUGGGGAAUCCCCGGGCUUAACCUGGGAACUGCAUUUGUGACUGCACAGCUAGAGUACGGCAGAGGGGGAUGGAAUUCCGCGUGUAGCAGUGAAAUGCGUAGAUAUGCGGAGGAACACCGAUGGCGAAGGCAGUCCCCUGGGCCUGUACUGACGCUCAUGCACGAAAGCUAGGGGAGCAAACAGG
rnacentral:rRNA from 1 species